UUUUCUGGCAAGCUUUUGGUUCUAUCCAUGCCUUAUUACAUAAAUAUGAAUAAAGAAUAAAGUGCCUGGAAGAAACCUCCCACCCUCAAAUGAAAUGUUCAAACUCUCAUCUAGAAGAACAGAUCUUUGUCAACACCAUUCAGGCAUCCUGGUUGAUUUUGUUUCCUAGUUGUUUAAAAAACAAUACUAGGAAUCAUGAUUCUUGUCACUACAGGAGCUAGUACUUCACUGCCUUCCCCUUGGAAGAAUUAACGAAAUCAAACAAUAUAAAGCAGAAUAUUCUUAAAUCCAGAACUGGAUAGCCAUGCAGUUUUACUCAAUAAUUGUAGUAUUUAUUGACUGAAACACCCAGAGUUAAAUACAUAUAUUUGAAGCAGAAGUACCUAGUAAUAGGGAUAAAGAAAUGUCUUGUGUUAAGACAUUUGUUUUUGUAAAACAAACUAAAUAAGCAGCUUCAUUCACUUCCUUGAAAUAACCACAUUAGCAUUAAAAGGAAUUGAAAUACUUAAUGCCAGAGUAGCUUUCACUUAAAUUAUAAAGUAAUGAGAUAAAGGAAACUAGCACUAAAGGCUGCCCUUUCCCUUCUAUUUCCAUUCUAACAUUGUUUAAUCAAACUCCAUACAGUAAGAAGCAUCUGAAGCUUAGGAUUUUAGUCCGUUCUUUCCACACUCAAAAAAACCAACCCCCAUUUAAUGGUUAGGCUGAAAAAUGUGUGUUCUGAUAUUCAGCUGUCUUUUUAAGGUCAAAGAGACAAUAAUUAUAUUUACCAUUGUUAAUACAAAGCAUGCACAAAAGCCACUUAAUGUUUUGUACAUAAAAAUAUAACAAUAUAACAGCUCCACAUUGAUUUACUUUUGUUCUAUUGGAUAAGACAAUGACAUGUUAUAUACCAUAAACACAUCACAUCAUCUAUAAAUAACUAAACGCUAAAGCAAUUUUAUUACUUUAAUGUAAUUACCAUACAGCCUUGCCCAAUAUGCUUGAUAGGCAGCUGGGUCGAGGCAACAGGAUACUGUAAUCUUUCUUAAACACACAGAAAAUAACAAUUCCAGCCCAUUUUUCCCAGGAAGAGUUCCUUGGAGGGGAAAAGCCUCUCAUGCUCUGAGAGUGAGCCUCUCAACAGGAAAGAUGAAGGCACAUUUAAAUAGAAGGAGGUAUGACAAAAGGCUUAUUACUUGUAUUUUUAAAAUUCUCUAGGAAAAUAUUCUAAAACAUAAAUUAAUUUUAUUUCAAAUAAAAUAAAUGUCUACCUACAUGAAGCAAUUAUACAGCCACCUGGCAGUGCAACCCCAAAUCAUGGUGGUGCCACAUGUCACGGUAUAGCAAGUCACUUUCUGAACUACAUCUCAGAAAAGAACUCUCUGUUUAAACAAGAACCAAUAGAAGUUGCUGCCUUCGGUUACCGAUAACAUCUUUGGAUAAAUGUUUUGCAGGUAUAAUUUCAAGUCUUCAAUAGAAGCAGAACGGAAACACAAACAACAGAACUUGAAGUCAUCUUCCAAAUAGGCUGCAGGAUAGACUCUAGACAGGAUGGUCUAACGAGUUCAGCUGCUAAUGGGAAAGAAGAAUAUUUGUCAGCCCGAGUUGUCACUUAAAAUGAACAAAUUCAUGGUAAGGAAAUUUAUCAUCAUAGACGAAAAUGACAUUCAACCUAUUUUGGCACAUAAACAUGUAUAUAUACACUGAAGGCAGACAUAGAAGGAAGGCAAGAUUAUAAAUAUUAAAAUGUGACCUGGAGGGCAGAAAACUCAACUAGUGUCCAGUAUGACACACACUAGGCAACAAUCUCUUUACAGAAACUACCAUGUUGUAAUACACCCUUUUCUUUUGUUCUUAAAUUGCAAACGGAAUGUAAUAUACCAGUGCCUGUUAAACAAAUUAAAUAUAAACACAACUAUAUUGAAUUUUAAAAAUUCCAUGAAACUAGAUCAAACCACAUUCACAAAUCAACUCAACUAAUACACUUACUAGUUAAAGAGUGAGUGGAAAGGCUAAUAACUUUUCUUUCACUUUUUCUGAAUUUAGUUAGACUUUUAGUCUCAUUAUUGCCAUAAAAUUAAGUAUGAGUAAAAGGAGAAUAAAAGAGAAAAAAACUGAUGGAGUUCAAUGACAUGUACUUCUUAAUCAUUCCUAAACUCAUGACUAUUUGCUUUCACAUUAGUUUCUCAUUUGGCUGAAUAAAUGAAAAUAUGUAUGAAUCCACCUAUCCCCAAUAAUUACUUGGUAUACAUUAUGUGUCAGGCACUAUACUAGAGAUAAAUGUAAGGAAUACAACGGUGAGUACAUGGUCCUUGUACUCAAACACAGCUUAUAAUCUAGUGAGUUAAUCCAUUAUAAUAUAAUGUGAUAAAACCUAUGAAAAAGGAUGCAAAAGAGGCUCUGUGAGCACUUAGUAGGGGCCCUAGAUCUUAAAUUGGGGAUUCAGAGAAAGUUUCUUAGAAAAAAGGUAAUAUGAAGUUGUGACUUGAAGGAUGAGGUGGAGUUAGCUAUAUGCAGAUGCAGAGGUAGUGAGAGUUCUAGAGGGAAUGGCUAGCAUGUGAGAAGGCCCGUAGUGAAAGUAUACUAGGGUGUUUGAGAAAAUGAGAGUUCAGCGGUGUGGCUCUGGUGCAGUAUGGAUGUUUGUUGGGGCUAAGAGAAGAGGGGUGGGGAAUAAUGAGGCUUGACAGAAACCAUGAUAGAACGUAUAGUACUGUGGGUAUUUCAACUUGAUCACAAGACCAGUGGACAUAGAAAGGUUUUGGGUGGUGGAGAGGGAAUGACAUGAUCAGAUGUGUGUCUCAGUAAGAGUACUUUCUCUAAGGAGUGGAAAAAGUGAGGGGUACACAGAGAGGGGAGAGAAAAAAUGAAAGACUUAAAGACUAGUUCACAGAUUAUGGGGUAACCUGAGUAAAGAGCAUAAACUAGAGCAGCAGAAGAGGGGAAGAAGUAGAUAGAGUUGAGAGAUAAUUAGGAGGUAAAUAGGCCUUAAUGACGGGAAAUGUUGCAGGUAUCAGGGAGAGGGUACAGUCAAGGAUGAGCCACUGGGUAGAAAGAUGAUGAUGUCUUUUACAGAGAUGGGAAAUGAGAGGCAAUGCUUUUUGAGGAGAGGGCAGAAAUGAAAGCAAGUGUUGGACAAGUUAAGUUUGAGGUUCCUGUGGGAGUGUGCUACAGAGUGAAUGUUUGUGUACCCCUCCCCCCCCCAAUUUAUAUUGAAAUUCUAAUCUCCAAUAUGAUAGUAUUUGGAGGUGUGACCUUUGGGAGGUGAUUAGGUCGUGAGGGUGGAGCCCUCAUGAGUUGGAUCAGUGCCUUUAUGAAAUAGACCCUGGAGAGAUCCUCAACCGUUCCCCCAUGUCAGGACACAGCCAAAAGUCAGUCUUUUGAACCAGGAAGCAGAUCCCCACCAGACAGUGAAUCUGCUAGAGCCUUGACUUUGGACUUCCCAGCCUUCAGAACCGUGAGACAUAAAUUUCUCUUGAUUAUAAGCCAUCUAUAGUCUAUGGUAUUUUGUUAUAGCAGCCGGAACGGACUAAGACAAUGUGAAUUCUGAAAGAGAACAUGCAGACCAAGAGAAGGUCCUAAGAAAAUAAGCUGAGGAAUACUACCACGUAAAUAUACAAAAAUGACAAAAGAGACUUAACAAUUUGAAAGACAGAAAGAAAACCAGGAGACUCAAGUAUCAUAAAAGCCCAAGGAAGAGAGCUCUCAAGAAGGGUGGACUGUCCAUUGCUGUAGAAGAUCAAGUGUGUUGAAAUAUUUAUGGUAGACACCAGACAUAUGAACCGAGAGAUAACUGGAGACUUUGGCAAGAGCGGUUUCAGGGAAGUCAUGAGGACAAAAAUGAGAUUGCGGGGGGCUGAGAAAAUGAAUAGGAAGUGAGAAAGCAGAGACUAACUCAUGAAGUCGGACAGUGAAGGGGUGGCAACUGGGAAAUAACUAGAAGGAGACAUAAGGCUGAAAUGGGGUUGUAGGAGGUUUUCUUCUAAUUAAACAUUUUUUCGCCUUAAAGUAAUAAGUGCUCUUGGUAAUAAAUUCCAAGAGCUCAGGAGGAUAGAAGGUGAAGAAUAUAAAUAAGGGUACUUCCCUUAAUCUCCUAUAGAAAAUACUAUUAACAAUUUUUGUGUCCCCUCUCAUAAAUAGUUUAUACAUAGACAACCAAAUACACACACACACACACAAAUGAGAUUCUACAAAACCUUUUUUCCUUAACACUGUAUUUUUGACUCUUGUCCAUGCUGGAACAUAUAGAUAUAACUCACCUCUUUUUAGUGACCACAAA